rnacentral:rRNA from 1 species
UACGAGUGGUGCGAGCAUUAUUCGGAAUCAUUGGGCGUAAAGGGUGUGUAGGCGGCAUAUCAAGUCUGUUGUUAAAUCUCCCAGCCUAACUGGGAAAAUGCGGUGGAAACUGAUGUGCUAGAAGAUGGAAGAGAGAAGUGGAAUUCUCGGAGUAGCGGUAAAAUGCGUAGAUCUCGAGAGGAACACCAAUGGCGAAGGCAGCUUCUUGGUCCAAUCUUGACGCUGACGACACGAAAGCGUGGGUAGCAAACAGGA